AGAGUUUGAUCCUGGCUCAGAACGAACGCUGGCGGCGUGGAUAAGACAUGCAAGUCGAGCGCUGAUUAAAGGGUAGCAAUAUUCUUUAGUCGGAGCGGCGCAAGGGUGCGUAACACGUGGGUAAUCUGCCAUGAAGUCUGGGAUAACUUGCUGAAAGGCGAGCUAAUACCGGAUGUGAAAAUUAAUCGGCAUCGAAAGAUUUUCAAAGCUGGGGACCGUAAGGCCUGGCGCUUCAUGAUGAGCCCGCGGCCUAUCAGCUAGUUGGUAAGGUAACGGCUUACCAAGGCUAAGACGGGUAGCUGGUCUGAGAGGACGACCAGCCACACUGGAACUGAGACACGGUCCAGACACCUACGGGUGGCAGCAGUCGAGAAUUUUUCACAAUGGGCGCAAGCCUGAUGGAGCGACGCCGCGUGGGGGAUGAAUGGCUUCGGCCCGUAAACCCCUGUCAUUUGCGAUCAAACCUCGUUAUUUAAAAGAUGACGAGCUGAUAGUAGCGAAAGAGGAAGGGACGGCUAACUCUGUGCCAGCAGCCGCGGUAAUACAGAGGUCCCAAGCGUUGUUCGGAUUCACUGGGCGUAAAGGGUGCGUAGGUGGCGGGGUAAGUCGGAUGUGAAAUCUCGAAGCUCAACUUCGAAACUGCAUUGGAAACUACCUUGCUUGAGGGUUGGAGGGGGGACUGGAAUACUUGGUGUAGCAGUGAAAUGCGUAGAUAUCAAGUGGAACACCAGUGGCGAAGGCGAGUCCCUGGACAACUCCUGACACUGAGGCACGAAAGCUAGGGGAGCAAACAGGAUUAGAUACCCUAGUAGUCC
rnacentral:rRNA from 1 species